GAUGAACGCUGGCGGCGUGCUUAACACAUGCAAGUCGAACGAGAAAUGUAGACGGAAACCUUCGGGCGGAAGCCUUCAUUUCGAGUGGCGGACGGGUGAGUAACGCGUGGGUAACCUGCCUCAUACAGGGGGAUAACAGUUGGAAACGACUGUUAAUACCGCAUAAGACCACAGCAUCGCAUGAUGCGGGGGUAAAAACUCCGGUGGUAUGAGAUGGACCCGCGUUCGAUCAGCCAGUUGGCGGGGUAACGGCCCACCAAAGCGACGAUCGAUAGCCGAUCUGAGAGGAUGACCGGCCACAUUGGGACUGAGACACGGCCCAAACUCCUACGGGAGGCAGCAGUGGGGAAUAUUGCACAAUGGGGGAAACCCUGAUGCAGCGACGCCGCGUGAGUGAAGAAGUACUUCGGUAUGUAAAGCUCUAUCAGCAGGGAAGAAAAUGACGGUACCUGAGUAAGAAGCCCCGGCUAACUACGUG
rnacentral:rRNA from 1 species